UUUGUUUUAGCGUUCCAGGCGGAUGAUCAUUCAUCAUGGCAGGGAUACAAGGCAGCAAGCAUCAAGCACCGUAGUAGGAGCUGCAAACGGAGCGACCAGAACUCUACUGCACAUACAGGAGCAAAGAGCCUACACUGGCGCCAACUGGGGACCAGAUGUCAAAUACAUGAGUCUGUGCGGGACAUUUCUCACGCAGCCAACAACACCACAUCUACAGCAGCAAUCACACAAAUGGUAUCACAUCUCUACACACACACGGAUCACGUACUUGGAAGCUUUACUGCCAGCUCAUCCACACUCAGGACUGUCUUCCCGGUGAGUGUAUCACCGGCUGGAGUUGUGUUUUUCUGACAAAUGGGGAUCCCUGCCACUGGGUAAUGGCUUGUUUUGUCUCCUGGAUUAUGAAGUCUGUGUGGGAUUGGUAGUCUCUCUCCAGAGCGUUUUAAUCAGUGCUCAGUGUAACUUUUAACUU